AUUGAACGCUGGCGGCAGGCCUAACACAUGCAAGUCGAGCGAGCGGCGGACGGGUGAGUAACAUAUCGGAACGUACCGAGUAAUGGGGGAUAACUAAUCGAAAGAUUAGCUAAUACCGCAUAUUAUUCGAGCGGCCGAUAUCUGAUUAGCUGGUUGGUGGGGUAAAGGCCUACCCAGGCGACGAUCAGUAGCGGGUCUGAGAGGAUGAUCCGCCACACUGGGACUGAGACACGGCCCAGACUCCUACGGGAGGCAGCAGUGGGGAAUUUUGGACAAUGGGCGCAAGCCUGAUGCAGCCAUGCCGCGUGUCUGAAGAAGGCCCUAGGGUUGUAAAGUACUUUCAGUCGGGAGGCGUUACCGACAGAAGAAGCACCGGCUAACUCCGUGCCAGCAGCCGCGGUAAUAC
rnacentral:rRNA from 1 species